rnacentral:rRNA from 1 species
CACGUAGUUAGCCGUGGCUUUCUGGUUGGAUACCGUCAAGGGGAUAACAGUUACUCUACCCCCGGGUUCUUCUCCAACAACAGCGUUUUACGAGCCGAAACCCUUCUUCACUCACGCGGCGUUGCUCCAUCAGACUUGCGUCCAUUGUGGAAGAUUCCCUACUGCUGCCUCCCGUAGGAGUUUGGGCCGUGUCUCAGUCCCAAUGUGGCCGAUUACCCUCUCAGGUCGGCUACGUAUCAUCGCCUUGGUAGGCUUUUAUCCCACCAACUAGCUAAUACGCCGCGGGUCUGUCCUGAAGUGACAGCCGAAGCCGUCUUUAUUAUUGCGACCAGGAGGUCGCGAUAAACUAUGCGGUAUUAGCCUCUGUUUCCAAAGGUUAUCCCCCGCUUCAGGGUUGGUUACCCACGUGUUACUCACCCGUCCGCCACUCACGUCCAUUAACCGUCACCUGCAAGCAGGAUCGGUUAACGGUUGUGCGUGCGACUUGCAUGUAUUAGGCACGCCGCCAGCGUGUCCUGCG